rnacentral:rRNA from 1 species
AACGAACGCUGGCGGCAUGCCUAACACAUGCAAGUCGAACGAGAUCUUCGGGUCUAGUGGCGCACGGGUGCGUAACGCGUGGGAAUCUGCCCUUUGGUUCGGAAUAACAGUUGGAAACGACUGCUAAUACCGGAUGAUGACGAAAGUCCAAAGAUUUAUCGCCAGAGGAUGAGCCCGCGUAGGAUUAGCUAGUUGGUGUGGUGAAGGCGCACCAAGGCGACGAUCCUUAGCUGGUCUGAGAGGAUGAUCAGCCACACUGGGACUGAGACACGGCCCAGACUCCUGCGGGAGGCAGCAGUGGGGAAUAUUGGACAAUGGGCGAAAGCCUGAUCCAGCAAUGCCGCGUGAGUGAUGAAGGCCUUAGGGUUGUAAAGCUCUUUUACCCGGGAUGACAAUGACAGUACCGGGAGAAUAAGCUCCGGCUAACUCCGUGCCAGCCGCCGCAGUAA